GACGAACGCUGGCGGCGUGCUUAACACAUGCAAGUCGAACGGAAAGGCCCUGCUUUUGUGGGGUGCUCGAGUGGCGAAAGGGUGAGUAACACGUGAGUAACCUGCCCUUGACUUUGGGAUAAAUUCAGGAAACUGGGGCUAAUACCGGAUAGGAGCUCCUGCUGCAUGGUGGGGGUUGGAAAGUUUCGGCGGUUGGGGAUGGACUCGCGGCUUAUCAGCUUGUCGGUGGGGUAGUGGCUUACCAUGGCUUUGACGGGUAGCCGGCCUGAGAGGGUGACCGGCCACAUUGGGACUGAGAUACGGCCGAGACUCCUGCGGGAGGCAGCAGUGGGGAAUAUUGCACAAUGGGCGGAAGCCUGAUGCAGCAACGCCGCGUGCGGGAUGACGGCCUUCGGGUUGUAAACCGCUUUCGCCUGUGACGAAGCGUGAGUGAGGGUAAUGGGUAAAGAAGCACCGGCUAACUACGUG
rnacentral:rRNA from 1 species